ensembl:lncRNA
CAGGGAAGCUCAGCUUGGCUGAAGCUGGAGCAGCGGGGGCCGCAAUGACCAACCAGCCACUCAGCAGCCAGCACAGCCUGCGUCCAGUGAGGUCUGGUGUUGGCAGGUGCAGAGUGUGCAGGCCUUCCUUUCCUAGGAGAAGGUGGGUCCCUCGGCCACGACGUGGCUGGGUCUCAGCGCGGAGCCAUCUUGGGCCUGGCCUGGGAGCUGCCGGGUCCACAGGCUGCAUCUUCAAGCCAGGCAGAUUCAGGCUCCCAGAGGGGUCCCAUCCGUUGUCCACCUGGCAAAAGGACCUUCUAGAAAGUUCUUUCUCAAAGGGGAACUGACAUUCCUGCCCUACUUUGUUCCAAGAUGGGAGCUGUGGUCUCAGAGGUAGGUGUGGAAAACCCAGAGUGGGGCUGCCUCUGUCUCUGCUCAAGGAUUUCUAGUUUGCUCAUGGAAGGGCUUGGUUUUGUCAGCAGCUGUGGCCUGGAUCGACCCUGUGGUCAGAGAUUGCCCAAAGCCCGCAGGCUGGUGACAGUCAGUGUGUGGCAGGAGCAGGAAAGUGAGCUAUUUCUCAGCUGCCCAUUUCUGGGGCGCCACCUUGGAGCUGGGGGGCGCUGGUACUUGGGGUGAGGCCCAAAGUUGAUUCUGAAGGGUUCUUAAAUGCCGAGCAGCAGGGUGGCAAUGUCCAGCCACACAGACAACCCAGUCUGGUCACGUUUGGCCUACACUCUGGGCCAGGCACACCCGGCCUCAGCCUGCACCUGGCUUGCUUGGACAGUUUCAAGUUCAGGAGCUGAUACUGGUGGUGGCAGCCAGCUUCAUUUUCUUUGAGGCAGUAUAUAAAGUUCAUUGUUUCCCUUAUUCCUGAUGAACAAAACUUUUAAGAUGUAAGAAUACAGUAUUUUGAGUAAUCCACUGUGAGCAUUACAGGCUUUUUUUCAGGAUGAGCAUCUGGAAAAAUAAAUAGGUUUUGUUCUGUUUUGUUUUUCCAGUAACUCAGAUAAAAUGUUAGCACAGUUGGCAGCUUCCUGAAUUAGGCAAAGUAAGUUUUGCAUUUAUGAAAAUGAAACUCAACCAUAAAACAUGGACACAGUCCACUGUUAAUUUUCAGACAUUUUCAUAAUUUGCAAGUACCUUAUUUGCAAAAUUGGUUUUUCGGGAGCUUUAGAGUCCUCAGGGCUGGGUGAGCCGUUCUGAGGAGGCUCCUGGCCCCUCCAUCAGGCGGGUGGACCUGGGCUGUGCCCUGCGCACGGCCAAGGAGGGACGCUGUGGCCCUUGGGCGAAAUGGCGGCUGUGCCUCGAAGACACGUAGCUGCAGCGGAAGCUAAGAGGCUUGAGCACCGAGCCAAGCCUGCCGCCACCACCACCCCCCGCCCCCUGCGGCCUCUGGCGUCUGGGUCUGGCUGAUCCGAGCAGGCAGGAAAGGUUGGGUUUCAGCGCUUUGUUCUCUGGGCGGCCUGGCCAUUGAUUAAGGCCCGUUGGGCAGGUUAACCAGCCACCCACUUUUUCGCACCGGGAUUGCAUUCCUGGCCAGGCCCCCAACCUCCUCCCAGACGGGGCUGAGCUAGGCGCCCUGGGGGGUGUUUGCUCUACUGGGCAGCCUGGGGCCUCUGGGCCGCUUCGAGCCUUUCCUCGAUUUUCCCAAGCGAGCCUGGUGGAAGGUGCCUCGCCCAGGAGAGGAGCCUGCUGCUCCAGAGAGGAGCCUGUUUUCAGUUUUCAUUUCCCCACUGUGGCUGAGGCUCACACUGUUGUCAUCCCUCCCCUGCCCCCGUGCCAGGAGAAGCCAGGGUCCCCUGCUGAGCUGUGCUCUGGGCAGAGAUGCAUCUCCCAUCCCUGCCUUGGAGUGUGGAGGACUGACACUCCUGCCCUCUGCGCCAGGCCUGUGCUCAUCUAUACUUCUCUCAGCCUACCGCCCAGGCGAGGCUCCUGACUGCCCAGUGGGCAGUGCAUCACCCUGGCCUGUCCCUUGGCUGUAGCCAGACCAGCUUUGGGCCCUAUAGGGUCCCCCAGCCCUCAGGGCUCCCCAAGACGUCCUGCUCCUGAGUGGCCAAGGGCAUUGGAGACACUAGGCCCCCCCGAGCGGUGGGAGGUGGCCUGUCGGCCAAGCAUGCUGGGGAAUGUGCUUGACCCAGCCUGGAGGGUUGGAUGCUGGGCUCUGCCCACGCCCCACUCAGCCCUGCAGCCUCCCCUGUGGCCUGGCCACCAGGCAGAGGAGCUGAAAUUUCACUCAGCUCUGAAAGGGAAGCCUUAGCUCAGAAAACAAGUGAAAUUGCAACCUCAAAGCACAGAUUUGACAGGGUCAGAGGGACAGGUGUGUAACUUGGAAGGAAGGGGGCACAUCCUGUGGUGUCUGCGGGUACAGGGCUACAGGGCAGGGACCCAGGGGUGGCAGGGACUCUGAGCCAGGACAGCCUGUGGAGGUCCAUGUGCCUGAAAUAUGUCCGGCCACACCUGCCGGGCUGAGCCAGGCAAGGGCAGGUGUGCAAAAUGCUGGCCGUGGGGAGUGGGGAAAGACCAGGCCGCCCUGGCCCUUCCUGUGGUCGGCUGGCAGCUGGUGGAAUCAGCGCAGCCUGCACCCCUUAGUAGACACUGCAGGAGGAAGAUGCUUGGACCCUACCCAGCCCCUCUCCAAGCCCAGGCUGCCAUGAGGUAGGAGAGAAAGGAGCAGAGCAGGGUCUGAGAGGUCAGAGUGCCAGGAGACUCUCCCCGGGCAGCUGCCCAGGCCUCUCGGCUCCAGGAGGGGCUGUAGGCUGGUCACUGAGCACAUGGGUGCUUCAGAGCAGCCCUUUCUGAAUAGCCUUGUCCCCAUGGGCCCCUGGGCGGAGGGCUCUGUGUUCUGUGUGGGGCUGCUGUUCACCUGCUCCGGAGCAGGACUCCAGGCCUGGUGCCACUGGGAGAGGGACAGUGAGAGGAGAGCCGUCCUGCCUCUCGAGCUGGGUUGCUUGUGCCUUGCCCAGUGCCCUUCCUGGGCGCUGGAGAAGGGCAGGUGGGGCUGGGCAGGAAGCAGGCUCCAGACAGCGUCCUGGGGCAGAGGCCAGUGGUAUAGCCUGGCCAGCCUCAGACACGGGAGGUGCCAACCUGUGCUCACAAUGGGGCUCUGGGGCCUGGACCACGCCUCUCUCUGGGACCACCCUGAGGGAGGCUCUACCCACCCCUGCUCUCCUUCCUAUUCCUUGGGCCACCAGCCUCUGGGCGGGAUCCCCUGCCUCCCGGAGUGCCCAUCUGGGCCCACACAGUGACACUGGGGCUAGAGGGCAGUUCACUAUGGCCCCAGCCCCCGUGAGGCCUCAGGCACCUGGGACCCUGCCAAGCCCUUGCCCUGUGGGGCUGCCCCCCCGCCCCACCCAGGGCUCAGAGAAGAGACAGCUCCUCUCAGGCACCCGUCAGCCCCCACCCAAGCCCCAGCUGGCGGCCCCCAGACCAAUCUGGGCAGCCGUGGCCAUCUUACUGGGCAGCAUUGGAUGGUGUCUGGUCUCUAAUACUGCCUGGUAAUGAUGACGGCGGAGCCCUGCACGCAGCAACGGGGCCGCCUCCCCUCCGCUCCCACCCCACCCCCACCUGGAGCCCCACAACGCGCCCAUCCCUCCAUCCUGCCCACUGGCUUCUGGGUGGAGCCGCGGGACAGAAACUCGACCCUGGGAAGGAGACUGGAGCACGCCGCGCCCCAGCUCCUCUGAGGAGCACCCCAGCCUCCAGGAUGAAAGGCCUCCUGCAGCUGCUCCACCCCUCCCCCCAGCCAGUGUUCUGGGGAUUAGGACGCUCAGGUAUCCUGGCCCUGCCCAUGGCACCCAGGCAGGUGCUGCCACCACACCUGGCAGGUGUGGGCUGCGGAUACUGCAGCAAAGGGCUCUAAGGGUAAAGGCUCAGCAGGGCCCAUGGGUGGGGGUGGGGCACCCAGGCUGGGCCUUGCUCCCCUCCUGCUCCACCGUGGGGAGGCAGCUGUACCUCCAGCCUUGGUCCCAAGCCAGCACACAAGGUCCCCUGCUAGGGAAAACCAGGGAAGGCAGACAAGCGGCUUCAGGUCUCUGCUGGCCCCAUCCAGUCCAAGCCAUUCACUGCUCUGGGUCACCGGGCUCUGAGCCUAUGGGUGGAAAGCUACACUUCUGUCCCCUGCACCCCGUGCUGGGUGCACCUGGGCAUCUGUGGGCAUCUUAUCGGACAGUGCUGGAUUUCUCGGCUUGACUCUAACACUGUCUGGUAACGAUGUUCAAAGGUGACCCACUGCCCUCGAGAUCCCCCGAGGAUGUGCCAUCCCAAGUUCCUGGAUCCAGACGUAGGCAGGGCAGGGGUCCUGCAAUUCUGGGGGCACUCACCGAGGGGGCACCCCUGCCCAUCAUGCCAAGGCUGGCUAGGCUGGUUCUGCCACAUGAGGGGCCCCAUCCUGGAGCAGCCUCUGCCUACCCUUACCCCCACUCCUCCCAGGCUGGGUUUUGGGCUCAGCUAGUCCUGUAGAGCCAUCAGGCCCAGGACUGUGGGCUGGAGGAGGAGACUUUGGGCCUGUGGCCUCUCAGCAUUCAGGGCUGUGUAAGUGCCCUGUUCUGGGGACUGGGGAGGCCAGUGUGGUUCAGGCACCCUAGCGCCACACACAGAACUGAGGACGUCCCCCACUGUUUCCUGACCAAGGACAAGGAAUCUGCAUUCCCUCUGCCAGCCAAGGCGACCAGGAAAUUUGUCCAAAAUUACAAUCCAGGAGGACCCAGUUUAUUUUUUUGAUCUGAGACCAGGACACAGG